UUUAUUUUGUUGCAAAAGAUUUUGUGCUUUCUUGUCCAUUUUUGGAAUUUGAAGAUUCAAAAGUUACAUCGUGUGUCCUUGUUAAGCUUAAUUUUGAUUAGUCAAGGUUUUGUGACUUUGAAGUUUGAAAGAAUGGACUCGAUUUGUCCUCUCAGAAUUUCAUACCUGUUUUGGUCAUAGAUAGAAUUGCUUAGCUUUGGUGAUUUCUAAAUUCUCAAGGCACUUAUUUUUUCCAUGAUUUUUGGUCAUGCAGCUCCUGCUAUGGUGAUCCAUCCACAGAGCGACGAUUUCUUGUUGUAUCUGUUCCCUAUUUUAAUAUAAAGAAGAGAUGGCAUACUUGAUUAAUUAGUUCAUUUUUGUCUAUACUCACCACAAAAAUAAUCCAUAAUAUAAUCCAUAAUAUACUUGAUUAAUUAGUUCACUUUUGCUUACAUACGUGUGCUUUAAUAUAUUUGCCUCAUGAUACUUCUUGGGUAAAUGCAUGCAUUUGGUAAUUUCGUUUUUUCAUACUCUAUUCUUUUUCAUCUCAUAUUUUAAAUUAUAAAUAUAAGUUUAAUUGUGAUGCACUACCUUAGUUUCAGUUUUAGAAGGUGGUGGUAAUAGUACACCACCCUUUUUGGUUCUGGCAAGAAGCCCUUUGGUUACAGGGGAUAGCAUCAAAUUUGUUGGGCUUGUAUACCUUAAUAAAUCUGUCUUUUGAUAGUAAAUUCAUUUAUGAGGUAGUUAUAUAUUAUGAAUUUUGGACAAUUUUGAUAGUAAUUUUGUGGACAAUUUUGUGAUUUUAGGAUAAAAAGGUAUCCUAUUGUAAGAGAAAAACAUUUAUGUCCCUAACUAUAUAUUUCUGUACUUGAUUUGCUCCAACACAAUCCUAAAUCCUAAUCACUUUCUUGCUUUGGUUGCAAUAAUAGCUUUUUGGGCUGCCUGGACUACCUUUCUCUUGCUCUUUGCUUAUCCAUAUUGCUUUUUGCCAGUCUUACAUUGAGAUUUAACAAGGUGGUGGAAGGUAUAAAAGAGGAAAAAAUCCCCAGCUUAAAUAAAAAGAAAAAUUAGUUGUUGUACCUAUACAACUUAUGCCAAAAUUAAACAGUCUCAAUUCAGAUUUUUGCCAAUUUUAAGGAUAUGGAUGUAUCAAAGAAGAACUAUCAAAAGUCAAAUAUUGAAGGAAACAAUUUGAAAAAUAAUUUGGAGUCAAAUAAAAAGGAAAAACAUAAGAAGAGAAAGAGAAGGCAUGAAAUUGAUGGGGAAGCUACAAGGAAAUGGGAAGAAGAAGGCUUCACCAGUAGAAAAAAGAAGAGAAAGAGAUUGGAAGAAAUGAGUGCUUCAAUGGCAAGCAAAAGACACAAACUUAUUGAGGAUAAUGAUCUUUAGAGUGCUGUCUCAAGUAUAGAUUUAAGAGUGCCUAAAAAGAAUCGUGUGAGAUUUGUUGAAAAGGAAAAUUAUGCUGAUGAAGUGCUGCCUUUUAUGGAGCAACUAUUGAAUGAUGAGGAUUUGUUUCAAACUCCUAGUAUUUCUAAUAGUAUAAAUUCUGAGUCAUCCAAAGACAAAGAGGGUUAGAGGACCUACAUUGUUGAAAAAAAUUUAGAACAUACCUCAUGGAAAGAUAAUUGAUGUGCAAUUUAAUGACCGCAACCAAGCUAUAAGAAAAGAAGGCAGAAAAUUUGCUAGUUUUCUUGGUAUUCUAGCUAGAACUCCUUCAAUAAUGCCUUUAAACAUAGAUGACUGGAGAUGUUAUGAUAAAGAGGAGAAAAAUAAGUUGCUGAAAAUUGUGAGGAAACGUACCCAAGCAAAUAGGAUUAAUAGGACAAAGCAAAAAAUGCCUCACAUGGAAGGAUCCAAAAGCAUUGCAACAUUGAUGGAUGAACAGGAACUAAUUGAAGAGAAGUUGAACAAUGACGAGCUAUCUAAUGAAGAAUAUAAUAAUGGUGUUGCUUGGGAAGGAGAUAUUUAUUCUCAAGUAUUGGGAAGUGAUACAAGUGGUUACGUACGUGGUUUAGGACUUGGUCCAACACCUUCUUUAUUGUGAGGUUCAUCUAUGACUCAAGAUUUCAAUGAAAAUUCUUUUAUGCAGAUGGUGUUAUACUACUGUGGGACUUAUAGUUGGUGGCUUUGUUGUAGCAUUGGCCUAGAAGAAUUGAACAUAUUUUGGACUUUUUUUUUAUUUUCUGGAAAAUGUAUUCAAAGUCAAUGAAAUGACAAAUAAACUUCUAUUAUGUAUUGACAAAUAUCAUUUUUAACAUUUUAGUUUGUCAA